UUGGAGGCGGCUACCAGCGAAAAGCCGAAACUCGCCCGCAAAGAGGCUCAGGAGGGGGUGACUCCGCUGCAGCGGACCCUGGGAAAGCGAGUUGACGCCACUGCAGCCUUUUGAAGAGGAAAAGCGGAGACCCUCAGCUACAGAUCUUCGAAAUUUCUUACAUGACUUCUGAUCUUCACAACUGUGCAAUCCAUUUUUAAAACGGGAAAAAGACUCAGAAAUCAGAAGUUGUACGUCGAGUCGCUUAUUCACCAUAUUUCAUUGUCUUGAUAGCAUCACUAGAACGACCUACCGAAGAAAGUACCGUUUGAGUCUCCAUCCUCGUGCUUCUGCUGCUGUUGCUGCUGCUGUUGCUGCUGCUCCCUCAGCUGCAAGGACUCCUGACAAACGUAAAUGGUUAGCCUUGGGCGCACCAUCCUAGGGAGGAAAAAACAAAAGCUGUUACUCAAAUUCUUCACGGGCUUCCCUUGUGGCGCAGUGGCUGGGAAUCUGCCUGCCAAUGCAAGGGACGUGGGUUUGAGCCCUGGUCCAGGAAGAUCCUACAUGCCGUGGAACAACUAAGCGCAUGCGCCACAACUACUGAGCCUGUGCUCUAGAGCCUGCAAGCCACAACUACUGAGCCCGCAAACCACAACUCCUGAAGUCCAUGCACCUAGAGCCCAUGCUCCACAACAAGAGAAGCCACCUCAAUGAGAAGCCUGCACACCGCAACGAAGAGUAGCCCCCGCUCGCCACAACUAGAGAAA